rnacentral:rRNA from 1 species
UACGGGGGGGGCAAGCGUUGUUCGGAAUUACUGGGCGUAAAGGGCUCGUAGGCGGCCAACUAAGUCAGACGUGAAAUCCCUCGGCUUAACCGGGGAACUGCGUCUGAUACUGGAUGGCUAGAGGUUGGGAGAGGGAUGCGGAAUUCCAGGUGUAGCGGUGAAAUGCGUAGAUAUCUGGAGGAACACCGGUGGCGAAGGCGGCGUCCUGGACCAACACUGACACUGAUGAGCGAAAGCCAGGGGAGCAAACGGG